rnacentral:lncRNA from 1 species
AAGCCCCACCAAAUAAAGAAAAUAUAGAGUUUAAAAGAAACAAGCUAUUUGAAAAUACAUGCUAAUUUAUAAAAGGUCAAAUAAGUCUGUUUUAACACCACAAUGAGGAAAAUAUCAUCUGUAUAUAAAAUUAAUCCAUCAAAGCCUAUAAUAACUUGGAAAUAAUUGCAGGACAUCAGAGAGGACAGCAAAAACAGGAGCUGAUAACUUUGUGGAACCAGUACUCCAUGGGAUAUAGAGGAACCAAGAUGAAACUUGCCCAAAAUGAACAUGUAGAACAAGAUACGUGUCUCUACACUAAGCAAUCAGCUAAAUCAUAAGCCUGCUCUGUUUACCAUUUACACAGUUAGCUUACCAGUGUUACAGAAGUGUAUUUGAAUUCCUAAAUAAUUU